rnacentral:snRNA from 1 species
AACCCUCUAUCAAAUCUUCUAU